rnacentral:rRNA from 1 species
UGAAUACGAGACGCUAAGGCGUCGAAGUAGUGUAUGUCAUACUUCCAAGAAAAGCUUGCACUGUCAUAAAUAAAAAGUGCCUGUACCAUAACCGACACAGGUGGGUAGGUAGAGUAUACUAAGGGGCGCGAGAUAACUCUCUCUAAGGAACUCGGCAAAAUAACUCCGUAACUUCGGGAGAAGGAGUGCCUUAUUCUUAAGGUUGCAAUAACAAGAUCCAAGCAACUGUUUAUCAAAAACACAGGUCUCCGCUAAGUCGCAAGACGAUGUAUGGGGGCUGACGCCUGCCCAGUGCCAGAAGGUUAAAGAAGUUGGUUAGCUUUUGCGAAGCUGAUAACUGAAGCCCUGGUGAACGGCGGCCGUAACAAUAACGGUCCUAAGGUAGCGAAAUUCCUUGUCGGGUAAGUUCCGACCCGCACGAAAGGCGUAAUGAUUUGGAUACUGUCUCGGAGAGGGGCUCGGUGAAAUAGACUUGUCUGUGAAGAUGCGGACUACCUGCACCAGGACAGAAAGACCCUAUGAAGCUUUACUGUAACUUGAAAUUGAAAUUGGACUUUAUUCGCGCAGUAUAGGUGGGAGGCGUUGAUUGUAAUCUUGCGGGAUUAUUGGAGCCAUCAGUGAGAUACCACUCUUGUAAUGUUAGAUUUCUAACUUUGUAUCAUUAUCUGGUCAAAGAACAGUUUCAGGCGGGCAGUUUGACUGGGGCGGUCGCCUCCUAAACGGUAACGGAGGCGUACAAAGGUUUCCUCUGAACGGUUAGAAAUCGUAUCUAGAGUGUAAAGGCAUAAGGAAGCUUGACUGUGAGACCUACAAGUCGAGCAGGGACGAAAGUCGGUCUUAGUGAUCUGACGGUACUGAGUGGAAAGGCCGUCACUCAACGGAUAAAAGUUACUCUAAGGAUAACAGGCUGAUCUCCCCCAAGAGUUCACAUCGACGGGGAGGUUUGGCACCUCGAUGUCGGCUCAUCGCAUCCUGGGGCGGUAGUACGUCCCAAGGGUUGGGCUGUUCGCCCAUGAAAGCGGUACGCGAGCUGGGUUCAGAACUUCGUGAGACAGUUCGGUCCAUAUCCGGUGUAGGCGUUAGAAUAUUGAGAGGAGCCUUCUUUAGUACGAGAGGACCGAGAAGGACAUACCUCUGGUGUACCAGUUAUCGUGCCAACGGUAAACGCUGGGUAGCUAUGUAUGGAGUGGAUAACCGCUGAAAGCAUCUAAGUGGAAGCCCACCUC